rnacentral:rRNA from 1 species
UGGGGAAUUUUGGACAAUGGGCGAAAGCCUGAUCCAGCAAUGCCGCGUGUGUGAAGAAGGCCUUCGGGUUGUAAAGCACUUUUGUCCGGAAAGAAAUCCUUGGCUCUAAUACAGUCGGGGGAUGACGGUACCGGAAGAAUAAGCACCGGCUAACUACGUGCCAGCAGCCGCGGUAAUACGUAGGGUGCAAGCGUUAAUCGGAAUUACUGGGCGUAAAGCGUGCGCAGGCGGUUUGCUAAGACCGAUGUGAAAUCCCCGGGCUCAACCUGGGAACUGCAUUGGUGACUGGCAGGCUAGAGUAUGGCAGAGGGGGGUAGAAUUCCACGUGUAGCAGUGAAAUGCGUAGAGAUGUGGAGGAAUACCGAUGGCGAAGGCAGCCCCCUGGGCCAAUACUGACGCUUAUGCACGAAAGCGUGGGGAGCAAAACAGGAUUAGAUACCCUGGUAGUCCACGCCCUAAACGAUGUCAACUAGUUGUUGGGGGAUUCAUUUCCUUAGUAACGUAGCUAACGCGUGAAGUUGACCGCCUGGGGAGUACGGUCGCAAGAUUAAAACUCAAAGGAAUUGACGGGGUCAUAGCUGUUUCCU